rnacentral:rRNA from 1 species
GUGGGGAAUAUUGCACAAUGGGCGAAAGCCUGAUGCAGCAACGCCGCGUGAGGGAUGAAGGCCUUCGGGUUGUAAACCUCUUUUAUCAGGGAAGAAGCGAAAGUGACGGUACCUGAAGAAAAAGCACCGGCUAACUACGUGCCAGCAGCCGCGGUAAUACGUAGGGUGCAAGCGUUGUCCGGAAUUAUUGGGCGUAAAGAGCUCGUAGGCGGUUUGUCGCGUCUGCUGUGAAAAUCCAAGGCUCAACCUUGGACCUGCAGUGGGUACGGGCAGACUAGAGUGCGGUAGGGGAGAUGGGAAUUCCUGGUGUAGCGGUGGAAUGCGCAGAUAUCAGGAGGAACACCAAUGGCGAAGGCACAUCUCUGGGCCGUAACUGACGCUGAGGAGCGAAAGCGUGGGGAGCGAACAGGAUUAGAUACCC